UCAGACGAUGGCGUCAUGCAUAUCAAUAAGCGGAGGAAAAGAAACUAACAAGGAUUCCCUCAGUAACGGCGAGUGAAGCGGGAAGAGCUCAAAUUUGAAAUCUUGAAAGGUCACCUUUCACGAAUUGUAGUUUAAAGAAGUGUUUUCUGUUACGAUCGUAAUAUAAGUUCUUUGGAAUAGGACAUCACAGAGGGUGAGAAUCCCGUCUAUGAUUGCGAUUUGUAGCUUUGUGAUACACUUUCAAAGAGUCGGGUUGUUUGGGAAUGCAGCCCAAAACGGGAGGUAAAUUUCUUCUAAGGCUAAAUAUUGGCGAGAGACCGAUAGCGAACAAGUACCGUGAGGGAAAGAUGAAAAGAACUUUGAAAAGAGAGUUAAACAGUACGUGAAAUUGUCAAAAGGGAAGCGUUUGACACCAGUGUUGUUUUCUCGAAAAUCAAUUAAAAAUGGCUCGAUUUUGUAUUGCUGAGACCUUAAAAGCUCACUGUACAUUUUUCGUGUCUUUUUUAAUGCACUUUUCGUUUAACAAGUCAACAUCAGUUUCUUUUGUUGUAAAAGGGUCAUUGGAAGGUGGCUUUCUUUUCGGAGAAAGUGUUUAUAGCCUUUGGCCUCUGCAAUCGGAGAGACUGAGGUCUGCAGCGUAGACUCUUCGGGGUUAGAUACAUUUGUGCUAAGUUAUAGCUUUUUAUAGACAACUUGUUGACUAUAAUUAGUCUUGUAGCUUACUCGCUUAUGCUAUUUUACCUACGCUUAGGAUGUUGACUGAUAUGUAGUCGUA
rnacentral:rRNA from 1 species